rnacentral:tRNA from 1 species
GCCUCCGUAGCUUAACACAAAGCAUGACACUGAAGAUGUCAAGAUGGCCGCUUACACGCACCCAGAGGCA